UGAAAGCCCCAGCGCAGCACCUGAGAGUGGCUGCGCUCAGUCUGCUGUGAGAAGGAUCAAUAAGAAUCCUAACCCCUUGCAGUGUGACGUAAAAUACAUAUGAAAAUUGCUGGUUAUGUUAAUCACGUUCCAAAUCUGAUGACAGUUGUACCCUGCCCACGUCAGUUAAGGGAGUUCUGCUGAGGUAAGUCUGCAAAUCGUACUUCACCAUGAAGGGAAAAAGCAAUGGGAAAACCAUUCCCUUCCGCUGACAGCACCUGACGCAAUGAGCCGUAACACUGUGUCAUACGUACGAAGUGACUGGAAGGCCAGCAGGAUGAAACGAACCUCAAUGUUGCAGCUACGCCGCCCUGACGAACACUCUCCCGGUGGCUAUUCGCUGCCAGGAACGUCACAGGAACAUGUACGUCUCAGGACCAACAAUAGCAACGGAGGAUAUACAGCAUAACAGUGCUCCCUUCCUGUGCAGGAACAGCUCCAGGCGAGAAGAAACCGAAAUUGAGUAAAGCAACCUGUUCAUUUCUGCAAAGGCUGGGAUGCAGAAGUAUCUUAGUUCCCCAGACAUACUGUAAUGUAAGAGCACUGUGCCUUGAGACAUGUGCCUUCUUUACCUUUGAAUUCAUCAAGCCUUUCCUGUCACAGAAUGGAAUUUCAAGAAAUGUUUGUGGCAGUGAAUUGCACCCUCAACCAACUUUGAAAAUCACACUGGAGUCUAAAGACUGGAAUGGGUCUUUUGCAAAAACUAUAUGAUGGUGGAGAUUCAACUUCAGUGCAUCAAAGUGCAAUGGAGAAAGACACAGUAAGCAUGCAGUAAGAGGCAACGUAACAUAUUUUCUACCUACUCUGGAAAGAUCAGCACUUAAAUGAAGAACAAGUAAAAUUCUUAAACAUGAAAAGAUUAAAGAAGAGUGAAAAACACAAUCUUAGCUCUGAUAACAAAGUAAGUCAAAUAAACAUGUGAAACUCUUCUGUCCCAAUACGCAUGGUCCCCUUCAAAGUAAUCAUGGCAAAAAACUAGAUUUUAUGUAAACCACAAUUUCAUCAUUAAACGUGUUAGCAGUA